GAGGAGAGAGAAUCGGCGGCGGAGGAGUCGGAAGGGAGGAGGAGGGAGGAGAGGAGGUGAAUGCGAGAACGAGCUUUGGAGAUGGAUUCCCACCAAGAAUGCAUGGGGUUCGGAUCAUUGUUGUUGUUGAUCGGAGUGCCGCCGUUUUGGUGGUGGUGGUGGUUGGAAGUGGAGGGGGUUUGAACGGUAGAGGAAGUGGAGGAAGAAGGGGAGUCGCCUGAGAUUUGAGAAUUUAGUGAGAGAUAGAUUGAGGCUAAAAGGGGAAUAAAGGAGAGGACUACGAGGCGGAGAUCAGUAUCAGAAGAAAGGAAAGUGUCGUAAAGCCAGUGACAAAGAGGGUCGUCACCGGAGCCGGAGGAAGGGGAAGAGAGGGAGGAAGAAAUGGAGAAGUAAGCCGCCGGAGAGAGGAGGAGGGAUCGUGCAGGGCGGUCGGAGUCGGCUAGGGAGGAGAGAGAAUCGGCGGCGGUGGAGUCAGAAGGGAGGAGAAGGGAAGAGAGGAGGUGAAUGCGAGAACGAGCUUUGGAGAUGGAUUCCCACCAAGCAUGCAUGGGGUUCGGAUCAUUGUUGUUGUUUAUCGGAGUGCCGCCGUUUUGGUGGUGGUGGUGGUGAUGGUUGUUGGAAGUGGAGGGGGUUUGAACGGUGGAGGAAGUGGAGGAAGAAGGGGAGUCGCCUGAGAUUUGGGAAUUUAGGGUGAUAUCCAUAGGGAUUAGGAGGGUGGGUAGAUCGGAGUUUUGGUGGAGUCUCCGAUGAGGACGGACAAAGGAAGUCGUACAAAGUGGACUGCCUUCCUCACUUCUUUUGGUUCCUUUUUUCCUACUACUAUAUUACUCCUAUUGUUUUAGCCAAAUUUCAGUAUUUAACUUGCUACCAAUUUAAGGCUGUAGUCGGUUUCGGUUCUGGAUUUAUUUG
rnacentral:lncRNA from 1 species